GGAGAGGUGGCAGAGUGGUCGAAUGCGCUGGACUCGAAAUCCAGUGUACGGGUCUCCCGUACCGUCGGUUCGAAUCCGACCUUCUCCGCCA
rnacentral:tRNA from 1 species